CUGGGCUCAAGCUAUCCUCCUGUCUUGGCCUCCCAAAAUGGUGGGAUUACAUGUGUGAGCCACUGUGUCUGGCCAGUUGUUAUUUUUAUUAGUAUCUCCGGGAGCCUAAUAAUAAUAACUAACAUCUCUUGAGUGUAUUAUGACGUGCUAGGUAUUAUGCUCAAUGCUUACAUGCAUUACUCAGUUUAAUCCUCUCAACAACCCUAUGAGAGAGAAACUGUCAUGCUGACUCUACAAAACAUCGAGGCCCCAGAGAAGUAACUAGUCGUAGUUCCCAUAGUUAGGAAGAGUCAGGAUUCCAACCCAGGAGUUGACCUUACAGUCUACAUUCUUGGCCCCCAGGCUCACCUGCCUGCCAGGCAGGAAGUUCAAGUGGUUGCAUGUUGAAGGGUUGAAUGCAAGAAGUGGAGGAAAGAGUUGGUGGAAAUUAGUGAGCUAAAGCUAGGCUCGGCCUGCUCUGAAGCAGUCUGGGUUUGCCCUUAGGGCAAAAUCACCUGGGGUAGGUGACAGAGAAGUGGAAGCCAUGCUCAGUUUUUGACAGGCUGUGUGACCUUGGGCAGAUUCUUGCUUCUGCUGAAACCUCCUUUUCCCCACUUGAAAAUCUGAGGAUCAGGCUGGGUGCGGUGGGUCACACCUGUAAUCACAACACUUUGGGAGACCGAGACAGGCCGAUCACCCGAUGUCA
rnacentral:lncRNA from 10 species